UUGUUUUCUCAUUUGCGUUAACGUGAAGUCACAUGGUAAAAAGAGAUACUUGUCACAUUUCGGAGACACGCUGAGGCACGUUGCUGGAAUCAUAAACGGUGGUUACAGUGGACGCAGCAUUUGCAAAGUUUGGUGUGCCAGCUGUGACAGAGGGUGUAAAGGUUGUUGACAGUUCGGGGACUGAGUUGGAUGACGAUGUAUUUGAGGAUGUAGUUAAGGAUCCCUCAGCUGGAGUGCUGACCAUCAAAUAUGACACAGAAUCUGUCUCCAUGGUACCAUCUCCUGAGCAGUCUGAACCACCAACCCUUGAUUCGUCUGAUUCUCUAAGAUACAGACAUCCUUUCAGAGAGUCCUCCCGGUAAACGGCAGAGGCUGGACACAGAAGCCAAGCACGUAAGAAUUAACACACAAACACCAGAGCAGAACAGGAAUUAUUUUUAGGGCACCAAGGCCAUAAAAAAGAAUAUAGUGUUAUUUUAAUGACCAUUUGUUUUUAAGAUCUUUUUGUAAAUCCCUACUUAUUAAAGGGAUGUAUUCUCAACAUGCUGAUUUGUUUUGCUCUUUGUUUGAAGUUGGUGGAAUCCAUUCUUGCCAAGAAACCUGGUGGGGAACGCAUAAUAAAUGAAUACAAUUGAAGCAAGUCCCUGACAGAUGAAACCAGAGAGAGAAAUAUUUACUUUUUUAAUCUUGCAGUACAUCACCACAUCACUUCAAAUUCCAAUUUUUGAACAUGCGAUUCAUGGUACUGUAGUUCAGGUCACUGGGGACAGUCUUGGUUUACAUGGUCUGUUUGGCUUUGAUGAGUCAUUUGGGGCUUGAUAUUGCUGUCGUUUCUGUCUCCUUGAGAAACACUGUUUUCAAACUGUAUUCUGUGAAGAUGAGCCGGAAGUUGUUUUAAGAACUGUUGAUGUGCAUGAACAGCACUGUCAGACUGUACAAACAGAUCCUAGGCUACCUCAUGUAUAUGGUGUGAAACGCGUUUGUCUGUUGAAUUCACUUCAGUAUUUCAACACAGCCAACAACUUCGCUGUAGAUAUAAUGCAUGAUAUUUUAGGGGGGGGGUUGGUCAGUUUGAGGUGAAACGGAUUCUGAAGUACAUUCAAGGCAACUUCCUAAGUGCUGAACAAGUGGCUGGUAGAAUACAUGCAUAUGACUAUGGUUUCAAUCAGCAGCGACACCGUCCACCUCUGCCAACAGAUAAGUUGAUGGUUGGAAGUAAUGAUUUGGGGUUGAAUGCCAUACAGUCUUGGUGCUUGUUAUGCAAUAUGGCACGGCAGGCACACCCA